GGCCCAGGUCUUUUUACAUACUUGAGACCUUCUACUACAGUUCCCUAUGGCUGUACCAAGCUCUUCCUCACUGCUUGUGAGCAGCAGCCUUGCAGAGGCUGAGCAAUGUAACGAUGUCACAAGUGAGGAUUUGGACCUACCAGAUCAGAACCAUAGCAUUUUACACUAGCAUCUGACAAAGGUGUCCCUAUGCUGAAGAUCAAGAACACAAAGGAAAUCAUGUAGCAAUACCCGAACUGAGGCAUCUUGAUCAGCCAUCAUGUGACAGCCUACCAUCUCUGUUCCAAAUUUCCUUAUGACUCGC